UACGUAGGGUGCAAGCGUUGUCCGGAAUUAUUGGGCGUAAAGAGCUCGUAGGCGGUCUGUUGCGUCGGCUGUGAAAACCCGAGGCUCAACCUCGGGCCUGCAGCCGAUACGGGCAGACUAGAGUUCGGCAGGGGAGACUGGAAUUCCUGGUGUAGCGGUGAAAUGCGCAGAUAUCAGGAGGAACACCGGUGGCGAAGGCGGGUCCCUGGGCCGAUACUGACGCUGAGGAGCGAAAGCGUGGGGAGCGAACAGG
rnacentral:rRNA from 1 species